CCUACGGGUGGCAGCAGUGAGGAAUAUUGGUCAAUGGGCGUAAGCCUGAACCAGCCAAGCCGCGUGAGGGAUGAAGGUUCUAUGGAUCGUAAACCUCUUUUAUAGGGGAAUAAAAUGCGGGACGUGUCCCGGUUUGUAUGUACCUUAUGAAUAAGGCUCGGCUAACUCCGUGCCAGCAGCCGCGGUAAUCCGGAGGAUCCGAGCGUUAUCCGGAUUUAUUGGGUUUAAAGGGUGCGUAGGCGGCCUUUUAAGUCAGCGGGGAAAGUCUGUGGCUCAACCAUCGAAUUGCCGUUGAAACUGGGAGGCUUGAGUAUGUGUGAGGCAGGCGGAAUGCGUGGUGUAGCGGUGAAAGGCGUAGAUAUCACGCAGAACUCCGAUUGCGAAGGCAGCCUGCCAAGCCAUGACUGACGCUGAUGCACGAAAGCGUGGGGAUCAAACAGGAUUAGAUACCCCUGUAGUC
rnacentral:rRNA from 1 species